rnacentral:misc_RNA from 1 species
UCACCAUAUCAAGCGUGGCUUGUUGUUGGGCCCUGUGUCACCGGGUGACAGGUCCGAAAGACAAUGACCGGUGUCAUACAGACUCCAUAUGCAACGAGCUUAUAACAGCAUGCAUCGGGGGGUUGUGUGACCCGCAGGAAGCCUUUGGCACCCUCUCUCCA